AGGGAAAGGCUAGCGGGGGGAGCAAGGGGGGCACCUGCGUCUCGGGGUUGAGCCUGACUGAAUUAUUCACCCUUGUCUUUUGCGUACUUCUUGUUUCCUUGGUGGGUUCGCCCACCACUAGGACAAACAUAAACCUUUUGUAAUUGCAAUCAGCGUCAGUAACAAAUUAAUAAUUACAACUUUCAACAACGGAUCUCUUGGUUCUGGCAUCGAUGAAGAACGCAGCGAAAUGCGAUAAGUAGUGUGAAUUGCAGAAUUCAGUGAAUCAUCGAAUCUUUGAACGCACAUUGCGCCCUUUGGUAUUCCAAAGGGCAUGCCUGUUCGAGCGUCAUUUGUACCCUCAAGCUUUGCUUGGUGUUGGGCGUCUUGUCUCUAGCUUUGCUGGAGACUCGCCUUAAAGUAAUUGGCAGCCGGCCUACUGGUUUCGGAGCGCAGCACAAGUCGCACUCUCUAUCAGCAAAGGUCUAGCAUCCAUUAAGCCUUUUUUUCAACUUUUGACCUCGGAUCAGGUAGGGAUACCCGCUGAACUUAAGCAUAUCAAUAAGCGGAGAGAAA
rnacentral:rRNA from 1 species